CGUCCUUGCCAAUCGUGGCCUGGGUAAAAGGAACCCUAGAGCCCUCUGCAGGCGCCUCCCUCCUCUCGCGCUUCCUCCCCAUGACCCCACCUCGCCUCGCGCCGCCCAUCUCCGCCUCCUCUCUCACGUCCUCCCUACCACCAUGGCCUAGCCCACCCUCGUCAGCGACCUCCCCAAGCCCCCUCUCUCUCGGGGGUGCUUCUGGUCGCAAUCUGGAAGAAGAAAAGGAGACCCCGGAAGAAGUUAGAGCGUCCUGGUGGUGGCUAGAUCGAUGCAGCUGACGGCGAGUGCCGGUGAGCGACGGGGAUGCCCCUACCUCUCCGCACCUUCUCCCGGGUUCCCGAUCUGGAACGGGUCGGACGGACGCCGGCGAGGCCAGCCUCCCCUUCACAUGCAGUUGGACCAUACUUGGUACAUGAGCCUUGUCGUGAGUAGUGGUGCAAUAGUGACCUCGACGAGGAGGGAAAUGUCCAGAAUCCAGACAUGAGUAAGGCACCAAAGAUGACUGGAAGCACUCAAAAAAGUUUACCACACUGGAGCUAUGUCAGGUACCUACUGACCUCGACGAGCAGGGAAAUGUCCAGACUCCAGACAUGAGUAAGGCACCAAAGAUGACUGGAAGCACUCAAAAAGUUUACCACGCUGGAGCUAUGUCAGGUUGUACAAGGGCAGUUAAUGAAUAUACUUGCGUUCCUUUUACUCUCAGAGUCUCCUCCUUUUCUCGCUGUUGAAUCCCUGCCACCAUCAUGUCCAGACUGGUUGUCUCCAUGGUUGUGGCGCCAAGGUCACCGCAUCUUACAUCCUGAUGCAUUUUCAAGAAGACAUUAUUUGAUGUUAGAUGGCCAUUAUGUUCGUGUCAUGUGGACAGAGGACUAAUGGUACUCUUCCAUGAAGAGAAGCAAAUGGAUCAGUAUGUAGUAGCAGGUGCUUUGGAAAGUACAACUGUACAAUUAUGCGACAUAAUAAUGCCUGGAAAUUGGCCUAUGGCUGUAUCAUUUAAGAUAUUUUGGCGUCUCUGCCAUCCUAUGGUUGUUCAACUUCUCUUUUGAAACGAGGCUAUCUAGAGGAUUUCAAGUUAUGUCUUAGGAAGACAUUGAUGAAGAUUUGAGAGGCAGGGGGGAUUGCUCAAGUGGAAACAGAGCAAGAACCAGAAGGAGCUUAAGAUUUUGCUACUACCUUGCUAAUAGCUUUCUGAGAUCAGUUAGGUAUUAUCCAGGCCCAGGUACCCAUCCUUGAUGAUGGAUUCCACGAGCUAAGCUGCAGGGGUGAACUAAGUUGGGAUUUUGCAGCAGCGACGGUCACAACUACCGGUGGAGAUCGAGCUAACGAUCUCCCAAAAAAUUCUACAGAUUCAUCAAACACCGAAGGAGGUUAGUGUAUACCUGAGCGGCAACGGCUGCCGUUGUGGUCUUGCUGGAGCCUCCUUUGCCGUGGAAAGUCACCAGCUUCAGGGAGCGACAGUGGCAACUGCAAGGAUUCG